rnacentral:rRNA from 1 species
GUGAACGCUGGCGGUAGGCCUAACACAUGCAAGUCGAACGACAGCACAGUAAGAGCUUGCUCUUACGGGUGGCGAGUGGCGGACGGGUGAGGAAUACAUCGGAAUCUACUUUUUCGUGGGGGAUAAUGUAGGGAAACUUACGCUAAUACCGCAUACGACCUACGGGUGAAAGCAGGGGAUCUUCGGACCUUGCGCGAUUGAAUGAGCCGAUGUCGGAUUAGCUAGUUGGCGGGGUAAAGGCCCACCAAGGCGACGAUCCGUAGCUGGUCUGAGAGGAUGAUCAGCCACACUGGAACUGAGACACGGUCCAGACUCCUACGGGAGGCGGCAGUGGGGAAUAUUGGACAAUGGGCGCAAGCCUGAUCCAGCCAUACCGCGUGGGUGAAGAAGGCCUUCGGGUUGUAAAGCCCUUUUGUUGGGAAAGAAAAGCAGCAGGUUAAUACCCCGCUGUUCUGACGGUACCCAAAGAAUAAGCACCGGCUAACUUCGUG